rnacentral:lncRNA from 1 species
GGAUAGAGGGGGAAGAAUUAUUGUGUCGUGAGUACAAAGUUUCAGUGUUGCAAAAUGAAAAAUAUUAUACAGCUCUUCUGCGCAAAAUGUGAAUGUACUUACUACUGAACUGUAAACUGAAAGGAAAGUAUCUUGGGUCCCUUCAAGCUGUGAACUGCUCAGGACAAAUCUGUCUCCCAUUCUAUUCAAAGUCAUCUCUCUCCUUACAGGAAUAGAUGCAUAUUCUGAUUGCCUCUUCUGGAAAGACUUAUCAGAAACUCAAAAGAACACAACCAUCUGUCUCUCACCUACAUGUGACCUGGAAGACCCCAGUUGGCGGCAGUGGGUUGAGCAUUUUAUUGCCCUGGAAAAGAUUGUGGUUUUGUUGCAAGGAAGAAGAGAAGAAUGACAUUUUUGUGGAAGAAUUGGGUUCUGUCUCCCAAUUAGGAUAGACUUGACUGCAACUGAAAUAGCCUUGAAGUCUUCCUUGCCUGCUUAACUCUCUCCUGCAAUUUCUCUUUGACAAAUGAAACUGUAUGUGAUGGCAGUGAUAUUACAAAGCUAUAAAAUUCUAUGAUUCUUUAUUCAUAAAAUUGCAUGAGAAGAUUGGGUAUCCAAUUGGAGAAAAUAUUUCUGUUUCACACUAAUUGCAAAAAUAAAAUCCGAGUAAGUUAAAAAUAUAAAUGCU